AAAUUAAUAAAAUUUAACAAACAAUCUCUUAGUAUUAGAAAUAUAUAUAAUAGUAUUGAAAUGAAUGUAAGUAACAAAUAAUGUUAACUUAUAAAAUUAUUUAAAUAUCAUCUAAUGAAUAAAUAUCACAUCGAUUGAGAUUAAAAUACCUAAUAUUACUCGUCAAAUAAUAAUCAGUUAUUUAAGAAUCUAAAAUAAUCUAAACAUGCUCCAUGGUACCACAAAUAAAGGUUAAAAUGUCUAAAUGAGGCUCGUUACCAUGCCGUAGCCCACAAUUGGCUUUGUUUCCACUUUCCAACGUGCCAAUUGCCGUUCGGGAUAAACGGGGAAAACACAUUCGGGGAGUCUACACAUCAAUAAUAUAUGUGAAAAUUGAAACCCCACGAAUCCACGAGUUAAUUACUUUGUAUAUAUGACAUAAAAAAUAAUAAUUUAACCAAGUAAAAAUUUCGUAAUAAAAUUAUAAGCUCUUGUAACAAAUUGCCCGAAACCACCAUGCCUAACAUUUUGAGUUACUUCUCCUAGAGUCAAGCUUUAAUAAUUUUAGUAGGUACUUAACACUAAUCACAUCCUUUGAAUCUUUCCAAUUUAAUUUAGAUGAGACACAACUAUGCUCGUCUUUUCUACAGUUUUGGUCAAGCGGGCGUUCAUAGCAAGUGCCAAUCACAAUAUUAUAAACCACAAAGCUGCACUGAAUUCCAACUCCAUUGAUGUUAUCUAUUCCAGUAAAAAUAAAAGAAGCAUCAACUCCAUAUUUCGGUUCUGCACCAUUAAAUAUUGAACAUUUAAAACUAUCCAAUGGAGUAACAAAAUAUGCAGAUUCCAUUCAACAUCGAAUCACAUCAAUCAGUAGAUGACAAUGAAUAACUAACUAAAUGUUCAAAUAAACAUUUGAAGAAAAUGGAUGUUAUCAAUCCUUGGUUAUUGCUAUGCAUCAGCAUCCCAGAGUACCCAAACUUAAAUGGAUGCAAUGUAUAGGGAUUUCUACAGAGAAUGCUACAUAGAGGCAGUGUGAUCAAAUGGAGACAGAAAGAAUCAAUGUAUAAUGAAAUUAUUGGCAAAGUAAACAGUAUAAAAGAACAAUGGCGAACAGCCCUAAUGCAAAUAACAGCCAUCGGAUUACAUAACAAUGAUAUGUGACAUCUUACGACACAUCCGAUGGUAACAGUAAUCAUCCACUAGCUCAUCAUCUACAAUCUAUAAAAGAUUUUAUUCUUCUGUACCCACCUCUAUAUCCCUACUCAGUGCCAAGCAGAAGCAGAUACCAGAGCCCUAUCUUUCCAGCCCAACAACAUUGCUCCAUCUGUCUCCACAAGUGUAUAAUGCUCUGAGUAACACCUCAGCAAGUUCCUAAUCACUGAGUUAACAUAUGAGCUUAAUGGACGUUGCCGAAAUCCUGCCAUAGUAAACCUGGACCUCCACUUGCCAAGGAGCUCAUGUCGCUCCACCCUCUCCCUUCCCUCACACGCGAUAACAUUCACUAUAUCCCUCGCCAAACAAUGCUGCUCUACAUUAAUUCGCUCCUUUUGGUCCCUUGGCAUGGUCACAUCAAUCGACUCAAACAUUGCCAAGUAGCAGUUCAGAGUUUCAACAAACCUGGGGAGGAAUGCGGCAGUAUUUGUGUUUGAUUCUUGUUCUACCAGAGUGACAACCUUGGGAUUCAGUGACUUUAUCAUCCUCAGAAGCCCAUCCCUUGGAUUGUUCAAAUCUACACUUUCAUCUGGGGUGUGGUGGAGUUGCAGAGGAAAGUUCACAGCCAGAGCUUCACCAGGCCUGACACCAAGCAUAUCUAGUGUUACAUCUGGAGCAAAAACAGGUAUUGGAUUAAACUCAACAAGGAUAUUGAAUUUCUGAGAUAUUGCUGCCAAACGUCUCCCAACAGCCUCCAACCCAUCACCACGGGCAUAUUUAGAAACAGGAUCAUCAAUUCCUGUUAUCCGAACACGAGGAGCCCCAGAUGGUUUUGCUGCAAGUGCCUGUAAUAAAGUCAUCCAUUGUGUACCCUGAGCUAUUUGGAAGUCGAUGAUAUGUAUGCAAUCCUCAGUUUUGCAUGCUUCAGCAAUGGCACCGUUGGCUGCCAUGUAACCAAACUUCAAGUAGGGGCAGAUUUCAUAAAGGAUAUGCAUGUAAGAAAGUAAAUCCUUGCUUUCUGGCUCCCUACAUCGCAGAGCACGGUAUAUGUUAGAACCUGAUUUCUCUUUUCUAGCUACCAACGCUUCCACCAUGUAAGCCCCAAGACGCUGGAUUGGUUCUCCACCUACAGACACAGCACCUCUAGCCUUUUCAAUCAACUUAUCAAAAUCAUUAAUAUUGUUUUCAGAGAGAGCUUUAGCGCAUGCAAUUAAUAACUGCUUCAGAUUGCCUGAUGGAAAGCCCUGCAGAGAUGAUUCCCCAAUUGCCAUCUGACUGUUCUCAAUUUGAGCACCUUCAGCUGACUGCCUAUACCUAGAAAUGAAGGACGGCUGAGGCUGAAUCACAUGUGAACCAUGGUGUUCUUGGCUCCAAGACCUAGGUCUGUGGCCAGGUGCUUGCGGCUUACUACUUCCCCCAUAAGAAGUAUUUGGUUUUGCUGCUUCUUCUUCAUCAGGCCCCAUUAGUACAGUCUCUAACUCCUGCAAAACGUGUUUUAUUUUCUGGCUACUAUUUGCAUUCUGCAGAUAUGAAGUCCCACCAGAAAAGAGAAUUAGACUGUCCACAGCAGGGCUUAACUGAUGAAAAUAACUGUUGGACUCCAGUGAGGAAUCGCAAGAGGGGCUGAGCCCAGAAGGAUUGUCCGAGGGGCUGUGCUGCUCCUGGCUAUCACUCAAUGAAGUGAUGGUAUCACACUCAAACUGAUUUGAAAAAGGUGAGUUAGGCGAGUUUCCAACGUCAAAUUUCAGAGGCCCAAACAACCUAUUGGGAAUUGAAGGCACAGUAGGACAAGAAGACGAGUAAGAAAUGCCUGCACUAGUUACACCACAUCCAAUAAUCUGGCGAGAGUCCAUAUUAUGGUUUUAGCAUCAGCUCUUGUCUAUCCGGAAAUAAUAUCUCUGCCUCAGAUACAAAUCAACUAGACCUUCUUUGGUCAACAACUGCAAUCAACUUUACAAUUCCACCACAAAUAACUCAAACUAUGGACUUCAAAAAUUAACCUGGUAACACAUUCAAAUGGACAUGUAAGCUCCCCAUAUCCAUUUUCCCAAAGUAUAAUUUGUCAUAAAGUUCACUAGCUGCUCAGAUAAUAUGUACAGCACAUUCAGCACUUAAAAAUGCAAGAGCUAAAGCAUAAAAGAACACGACAUAGACGCAGAGCAAAACAGAUGAAUAGAAAAUAAUAUUGAGGUAUAAGCUUAGGGUCACACAAGAAGCUUGAUUUAAAAAAAAAAACCAAUAAUCAAUUAUCAAACCAUAUAGCAUAGAUCAAAAUUACUCCUAUCAACUUACUAAUUACUGCGUUCACAUCUAGACAGUUACCUGACUACCAUUUCUUGGAGGAGAAUUCAAAACAAACAGUUACAGGUAGAUUGAACAACAGAAUAUAUUCCCAUCAUUUCCGGCAACAAAAAAAUAAAUUAACAAUUUCUUGGCAAAUAAUUAACAGCUCCCACAUUAAAACUAAUUAAUAAUCUUUUCGUUGGCGAAAUCAACAUUAGCAGAAAUAAUUCCAAUAAAGCAAGCUCUAAACAAAACCAUCAACAGUAAUUUCCAGGCAAAACAAUUAAGAAUCAUAGCUCUCAUUUCAGGAAAAAAAAUUAUUCAAAACAUUUCUAGUCAAAAUGACUAAUCAAUUUCCACAAUUAAAAAAAAAAAUCAUCAAGCUUCAGUGUACAGCGCCCAAACUAUUUCAAUGAAAUACAAAAGAACAAAAAUAAAUAAUAAAAAAAAUGAAUAAAAUGUUCUUGUUUAAUGAAAUUAUAACUUACCUGUGAAUAUUUCUAAGGAAGAAACAGUAGCUUCUGUGUUCUGCGUUUUUUCAGCUCGGUGUUUUGGUUUUGACAGUUUAUGCGAAUCGAAAGAAUCCGCGUUCGAGCGGGCGCUAUUUAUAGAGGAGCGGGAGUUGACGGAGGUUAUGUACCGAAAGUAACGGUAACGGUGAAACGAGCGGUUACUGGCCUGUAGGUGGUCUGUGUUGUACUCCCAGUCAGACGGAGCUGGUCCGCGUCGUUAUAACGGAUGUCCACGCCGACCAGGCGGUCUGAGUAUUAGUAGAACAUUCUUUGCUGUUUCCGUCUUGGUGUUUGGGCCUCGUGGCAAAUUUUCUUUCACGCGCCUAGCGAGGGUGUUGAAUUCAAGUCAAAGUAAGCUUCAAAAUUUAUUAUAUUUGACUAUUUUUCCUUUUUUUUAUUCUGCUCUCUUCUAAUAUUUUCAGUUAUUUUUCAAGAUGGGUUGGUUGCUCCUAACUGGAAAUAUAUUUUUCCUUUGGAUAUACUGUUUAGUCUCCUCUUUAGUCUCCGGCUGAGUGGUGAAUCCAAGCUCUUAUUUUGGUUCGAGUCUUUGUUUAGGGAUUUAUUUAAUUUUCUCUCUAAUAUUUGUCAGUAAAAGUAGAUAUACAUUCUCAUAUAUAUGGGUGGACUCAACACUUUUUAUUAUUCUAUGCUAAUUUAUAAAUUUAUUGUAACUAUUCGUGUGAAUGUCUAUCCAUAUAAAAGAGUAAAAUAAUAUAUAUAUCAAGCAACAAAAUAUCAAAAAUCUUAAUACAUAUAUUUAGUAAAGAAAAUAAAAUAAAAAAUAAAAAAAUGCAGCAAUAAGCUUAUAAUAGAAAUCAUUAAAAUUGUAUGCUAAGAAGAUCAUUUAUGAACACAUUUUUAUUUUAGUGAUAGAGAAUGUAAAAUACUUGAAUAAUUGAACUUACUAAGAAGAAAAGAACAAGUAUAUGUAAUAGUGAAGGAAAUAAACUAAUAAAUUAUGAAAAUGAUAUUAAUUCUUACUAUAUUGUUUUGUAACUUUAUAAUAUUAAUGAUGUUAUAAUAUAUUGGCUAACUUUCUUUCUUUUUUUUAAGUUAGACCAAACCAUUACAUUGUUUAUAAUAAGUUAAGGCAAUAAUAACAUCCUAGCCUGGUAGUAGCCCCUAAUGAUUUUUGUUUAUUCAAUAAAUAUAUAAUUUAAUUAUUUUAUCAACUAAGUCUCUAAAUAUAAUUGAAAAAAAUUAAGUUGAAUUUGGGACAUACUUGAAAAUAAAAUUAAAAUUUUGUUAUUAUUUGAAGAAUUAUAAAAACAAAAAGGAUGUAAACUCGGUUUGCUCCAGGCAUAGGUCUACCAUUGCCCGUCUAUUGGGGUAGAUAAAAAUAGAUAUAUAUUGUCAUAUGUUGAAGCAAAGAUCUCACCUGUUAGUAAGCACAAAUUGUAAGCUAUAGUCAAUAGAUUUGUUGAUUGAAUCAUAAAGUGUAGAGGUAGGUAUAUCUUCUCAUAUAUUAGGGUAGAGAUGCCACCUCUUGGUACGCAUAAUUUCCUGAGUAAUGUUUAAUAGACUUCUAGGCUUAAUUAUAAAGUGUAUAAAUUCAUAUUCUCAUCCAUUUCAGAUUGUAAGGGUGUGUUUGGUAUUGUUUUUAUAUAUAGUGUUUUUUAUUUAGUUUUGUAGAACAAGAAUGAUUGGCUUUUGAUAAAAAUAAAAACAUGUUUCGUAACUCGUUUUUAAACUAAUGUCUGAAAAUGAUAAUUGUAAAAAUGUGUUUGCCAGUUUUUCUGAAAAAAUAAUAAAAUUCAUUUGGCGUAUAUUUUUUUAAAAGUUAUAUUUUGAUAAUUACAUUAUAAAAAUAUAUGUACUUAAUUUUAAUACGUUUUCAAAAUAAAAAUUUAGAUAAAAUUUAAGAAAAAUAUUAUCCAUUGAUUUUGUAAAUUACCUAAGUUUUUAAAGAAAAUAAUUUUGCAUUUAAAUGAUUUAUGAGAAUUUUAAAGUUUUAUUUAUAUUAAUUAUGCUAAAUUUAUUUUUUAUUAAUAAGAUAGUUUUUUAUUAUUUUAUUGAUAUAUGCAUAGCAUUUUUCCAUUACAAAUAUACUAUAUUAAAAUAAGCUAUUUAUGUAACAAACACGGGGGAACUAUUAGAUUUUUGUUGUAAUUAUUGCAUUAUAAAUAUGGGACCCCUAAUAGCAUAAAACAAAAAGGUAAAAAACGCCAAUUUAGCAUUCUCUACAUUUAUAAAGAAAAAGUGGAAAUCAAGAAAUUUUUAUUUUGUAUUUUUUGUUUAUGGUUCAAAAAUACAUCCACCAAACAAGUUUUACACUUUUAAGUUUUCAAAAAAAACAAAAAACGGUUAGCCAAAAAAUGAUACGAAACACACCCUAAAUAUCUAUAUAUUGUUUACUGUUUAGUAUAAAAGCAUUAUUUUGAACAUUACUCAAAUUUAUAUCUGACUUCAAAUGAUUAGUUAUUGUUGUUUUACUUGUUCAGGAAAACUUGCAACAUUAUCUUGAAUCCACAUUUUCCAAGCUACUCAAUGUCAUGAUCGACUUGACUGUUCGUGGGUCUUACUUAACAAGUUACUGUACUCUUUAGUUAAUGAAAUUUCAUAGUUAUUUUACCACGGCAAAAGAAUUGUGCUUCAUUUUAUCAAAUCUCAUAUAUAUCGUCAAUUUAAUUCGCAAUAUAUAUUCAAUAAAUACCGAGUUACCCACAUGAAUUUACUUGAAUGCCUCGGGAUGGUCAUAGUUAAAGAAAGUGAUUAAAAGUUAACAUCCCUAAUCCUGGUUAAAACAAAUUAAAAUUAAUCACUGUUUUUAAAAGAGGAGAGAGAUGACCACGCGCGGGGAUGGGCGGAGUAGCCCAUGGGUAUUGUCGUAUUUGCCCCUUGAAGCACGCAGAACAAUAUAAAAUUAUAAAUCAGUUAAAGCCCAACGGCUCAACGGGGGUUGACCGACGACGCUCACGCGAAACACACGUGAGUUUCGGCCAGCUCAGAGCCUUAGGCGCGUAAACCUAAGUGAUGUUAGCGAAAUGCCACUAAUCAAGUAUGUGGCACAAGAUAAAGAGACCUCUGUCCUAUUUUGACUCCUUUGACCUGACGUGGCGCGCACGCGUUCACUCCCUCUCUCUCAUUUUUAUCUCGCAAGCGCUCACGUCACAAGCUAUUAUAAUUGGUCAGUGUGAGCUUGCCGAAAC
rnacentral:lncRNA from 1 species